rnacentral:lncRNA from 1 species
GUACCGCCACUCCUACGACAGGUAUAUCCGUUAUAUCCUGGGAGGAAAUAAUCCACAACCUCGGGUACAGUGAGGGGGUUAAAUUCCUUAAGGACACACGGUGAAUUCUGUGGUCUCGGAUUUCUUCAUUUCUGUGAUUUCUGUUUUUUUUGUGUCUCUUCUUCUUACUGGUUUCCAGUUUCUCGUUGCUUUGAACACGGAC